rnacentral:rRNA from 1 species
CAGUCGCCGCGGUAAUGCGUAGGUGGCAAGCGUUGUCCGGAAUUAUUGGGCGUAAAGGGCUCGCAGGCGGUUUCUUAAGUCUGAUGUGAAAGCCCCCGGCUCAACCGGGGAGGGUCAUUGGAAACUGGGAAACUUGAGUGCAGAAGAGGAGAGUGGAAUUCCACGUGUAGCGGUGAAAUGCGCAGAGAUGUGGAGGAACACCAGUGGCGAAGGCGACUCUCUGGUCUGUAACUGACGCUGAGGAGCGAAAGCGUGGGGAGCGAACAGGAUUAGAUACCCCGGUAGUCCCUGUCUCUUAUAC